rnacentral:lncRNA from 1 species
GGUAGCCUGGUGUUUGGCUGAACAAGCAAACACAGAAAAUGGUGUGAAGUAUUCUGAACCAGCACAGAGCCUUCAGAGAGUAAUUUGAUAAAGCCACUGCAGGCUUCAAGGACAGCUGGAUACCCUUAUAUUAGCUUCAGCAUAACAUUUCAAGGGAGGGACAGAUGAGCUAGGGGGAGUUGUACAACAUGGGAUGAGAUCUUAGAAUACUCUCUGACUGGUGUUCAUUCAUCCUCAUCAACCACACUUACUCAGCCCUCUUCAUGGAUUCUCUAAUCUCCACCUCCCAAAUAAAUGAAUAGCCCUGACCCCCGUUAGUAGUAAGUCUUCCACCUACCGUGUUGUACAGCUGCGUCUUGAAGUUCUGGAAGAAGUACCUGCUGUCAGCUUGGCUAGAGGGCAGGCCCUUGUAUUUCAUCACAGCAUCAUAGCCAAAAUAUUUGAACUCCUGCUUCUGGUUGAACAAAAUGCCCAUAGGCGUCUUUGAGGUCUUGAAUCCGUGCUUUGUUCCCCAGUAAACCUGGAGGAUUUUGUCAGUACCUGAAGCAAGAGAAAAACAGUACCCACUGUAGGAUGUGCCUAUAGCAAUGAUGAAGACUGACUGGCUGGCCAUGGCCACUGCAGUGCAGCAGUGUGCAGCUCUGGGAACAGAGAGGGACGAACAGAUGGCACUGGACUGAAACUCAAAGGACUGAUAUUACAGAGGGAAGGGCAAUCUCCCCAGAUUUUAUUGGCUGGAGAGAAAUGUGACUCUAGACAUACUGUAAAUUGUACCUUUUCCUGUAAAGAGGCAGGGCUUCCUUCUGGUUUUUGUAACAGAAAAGUGCCUUUGUUAGGGAACUGUCUUAUCAGUAGCUUUGUGCACUCCCAGCAGCAUCGACAGACCCCAGUGCUGCCCACUCAUUUCAACAAGCAUUUUCUGCUGCUGCUGCAAAGGCAUGAAUACAUCAAAUGUUUCUGGCUCCACCAAAGGAAAAAUGUGGAUUAUAGCCAAUGUUUUUGGCUCCAGAAGAACAGAAGUUUUGAAUACACCUGAUAUUUCUGGCUCCAGCAAAGAAGAAGUGUGGGGUACAACCAAUAUUUCUGGCUCCAGAGGAACAGAAUCACGGCAUGCACACAAUGUUUCUGGCAAUAGAGGAACAAAGAUGGAUGGACAAUGA